CAAUACCGGGUGGCGACCGGCGCACGGGUGAGUAACACGUAUCCAACCUGCCGAUGACUCGGGGAUAGCCUUUCGAAAGAAAGAUUAAUACCCGAUGGCAUAGUUCUUCCGCAUGGUAGAACUAUUAAAGAAUUUCGGUCAUCGAUGGGGAUGCGUUCCAUUAGGUUGUUGGCGGGGUAACGGCCCACCAAGCCUUCGAUGGAUAGGGGUUCUGAGAGGAAGGUCCCCCACAUUGGAACUGAGACACGGUCCAAACUCCUACGGGAGGCAGCAUG
rnacentral:rRNA from 1 species